UACGUAGGGUGCAAGCGUUAAUCGGAAUUACUGGGCGUAAAGCGUGCGCAGGCGGUCUUGCAAGACAGAUGUGAAAUCCCCGGGCUUAACCUGGGAACUGCAUUUGUGACUGCAAGGCUGGAGUACGGUAGAGGGGGAUGGAAUUCCGCGUGUAGCAGUGAAAUGCGUAGAGAUCGGGAGGAAGGCCGGUGGCGAAGGCGGCGCUCUGGGACGUUUCUGACGCUGAGGCUCGAAAGCGUGGGGAGCAAACAGG
rnacentral:rRNA from 1 species